GCUGCCGUGGCCUACUGGUUAGGGCUUCGGGCUUGUGACUGAAGGGUUGCCGGUUUGAUGCCCGGCCAGUAGGA
rnacentral:tRNA from 1 species